GCAAGAGCCCGGGUAGCGGUCCGCGCCGGGGCGGGUGCUCCGUCAGCACCGGAGUAUGCAAAGGAGCGUGUGCGGCCGGAGGGCUGGCGGUCUCAACAAUAAUGCGCCCGCGGGGCCGGCCACAAUACAAGCGCCUCGGAGCGAGUCCCCGAACCUGCCCUAGCCAAAAUGGCGGCCGAGAAAGAGCGGAAGUGACGGUACUAUAUUUGUUUUCUUGUCAACUGGUUUCCAAGCAGCUUUGGGAGGCACAGGAAGAAGGAAGAUCUCAAGGAGAAGGGGAAAAGUCCAAGUGUCCUCCCCUUUACUCUGCCUCCCAGCAUGGACCAGAUUCCAUCCAUGACUCCCACUUCUGCCAAGCAUCCCUGACUCCACCAUUCUAGCUCCUCUGGGCAGCCCGGGUUCCCGGCUCUAAAAACACCAUCUCCUCCAUUGUUGCUCCAGCCCAGGAGCGGUAGUGAGCUCCAGCUGCUACUAAUCUCUGAGUAGCCCCACUGUUCCAUUUGGCUUCUCAGCAAUUCCUUCACCUGUGUAACUAGAUUCUCUGUAUUAAAUUCCCUAUAUUGAAA